GAUGAAGAACGUAGCGAAAUGCGAUAAGUAGUGUGAAUUGCAGAAUUCAGUGAAUCAUCGAAUCUUUGAACGCACAUUGCGCCCCUUGGUAUUCCAUGGGGCAUGCCUGUUCGAGCGUCAUUUGUACCUUCAAGCUCUGCUUGGUGUUGGGUGUUUGUCUCGCCUUUGCGUGUAGACUCGCCUCAAAACAAUUGGCAGCCGGCGUAUUGAUUUCGGAGCGCAGUACAUCUCGCGCUUUGCACUCAUAACGACGACGUCCAAAAGUACAUUUUACACUCUUGACCUCGGAUCAGGUAGGGAUACCCGCUGAACUUAAGCAUAUCAAUAAGCGGAGGA
rnacentral:misc_RNA from 1 species